CCUACGGGUGGCAGCAGUCGAGAAUCAUUCACAAUGGGUGAAACCCUGAUGGAGCGACGCCGCGUGGGGGAAUGAAGGUCUAUGGAUUGUAAACCCCUGUCAUGUGGGAGCAAAUUAAAAAGAUAGUACCACAAGAGGAAGAGACGGCUAACUCCGUGCCAGCAGCCGCGGUAAUACAGAGGUCUCAAGCGUUGUUCGGAUUCACUGGGCGUAAAGGGUGCGUAGGCGGUUUCGUAAGUCGUGUGUGAAAGGCGCGGGCUCAACCCGCGGACGGCACUUGAUACUGCGAGACUAGAGUAAUGGAGGGGGAACCGGAAUUCGCGGUGUAGCGGUGAAAUGCGUAGAUAUCGAGAGGAACACUCGUGGCGAAGGCGGGUUCCUGGACAUUAACUGACGCUGAGGCACGAAGGCCAGGGGAGCGAAAAGGAUUAGAUACCCUUGUAGUC
rnacentral:rRNA from 1 species